rnacentral:misc_RNA from 1 species
ACUUUCUCCCCAAUUACUAAUUUUAAAAAAAUCCACUGAUUACUUUCUUUUUAAAAUAAUCAGUAAUUUUUGUCGGCAAAUUAAUAAUUUUUUCGUAAAUUAUGAAUAUUUUAUUCCGAAUUACUAAUUUUACAAAAUAAUUACAGAACUGUAUUGUUGAUGGAUUAAUAAAAACUUAUUUAUAAUAGUGUACAACUUUAUUAAUUAAUACUUAUGAGCUAAUUACAUGUCUCUUGUAUAUUGCGAUAUAUGUAAUGAAUAUGUCGGACAACACUUACGCUGCGUUCAGGACAGCGUAAGGCUGCGUUCGCUACAUCUUUCCCCUUUUUAAAAAAAAUUUUUUAUAAACUUAUUAACUGUAUCCAACUUUUCUUCCCCUUUUACAAAAGAAAAUAUAUAUGUAUACUUUUUUAUUACAUAAAUGACAAAUCUAAUUAUUUUUUACUACAAUACAAGAGAGAAAAAAAAUAUAUAAAAAAAAAAAAAAAAAACAAUAUUAUUAUAGCUCCCAAUUUCUAUUGAUCACCAUUAAUAUGUCAAUCAAUAAUGUGAUUAUUGAUUGACAUGUUGAUUGUAUGUGUAUUUACACUCAACAAAGAUCUAAUUAGGUACUUACUUAUUACUAAUUACAGAAAAGAAAAAACAAAAACUGAUUAUAAUUGACACUGCCCCAAAUGAUUUUUUUUUUUUUUUUUUUUACUUAAUUAAAGUUUUAUAUGACACAUUUCUUUCAUGUUACAUUUUUUAUUAUACACAACACAAUAUGUACUUAUAUCUAAAUUUUUAUAUGAGGAAACCUUGUAACCAUUCACUCGACUUAUUCUGAAGCAUCACCAAAUCAUUUUAUGCUCUUAUAUGAUAUGAAGUUCUACAAUAAGUAACACCAUUUGUGUCACUUACAUUGUAAGACCUAAAAUUAUUUUUACUCACUAUUUUUCCUUGUUGCCAUUUUUUUCCAUUAACAUCUUUUUUGAACCAAACAUUUUGUCCUAUUAAAAAUUCUGAUCUAUUCCUACUACGUAAAUUAUAAUUUUUAAUAUUUCUGUUUUGCGUUUUACUCAUUUCCAACUCUACAUUAGUAUUUAUUUUAGGUUUUAAAUACUGCAUUGUCACAGGUAAUUUAGUUUUUAAGUUUCUAUUCAUUAAUAAUUGUGCUGGAGAAAAAUGUGUACCAGAUACUGGGCUGCUUCUAUAUUGUAACAAUGCUACUCUAUAGUCAAUGUUAUCAUCAUAACAUUUAAAUAAUAUUUUCUUUGCUAUUUGUACAGCACGUUCUGCCAUUCCGUUCGACUGGGGAUACUGUGGGCUAGAAUAAGUGAACUUAAAACCCCAUUCCGAUGCAAAUAGUUUACAUUCUCUUGAGUCAAAGGGUAUAUGGUCCGAUACUAUUUCUGAUGGUACACCAAAAUUUGAAAAUGAAUCUUUUAAACUAUUAAUAAUACUACCAGCAGACUUAUUCGAUAACAAUUUUAUAUCCAACCACUUUGAGUAGUAAUCAUACAAAACAAAGUAGUUUUUUCUUCUGAAGUCUAAUAUAUCUACUCCUAGUUUAGAAAAUGGUAAUUUUGGUAUGCUAUGUGGUAACAAUGGCUCUUUUAUAUUAUUAUUUUGAUAUGUUUGGCAUAUAAAACAUUCUCUAACAAAAUUUUCCAAGUGACAGUCUAUUUUUGGCCAAUAAUAUAAUUCUCUUGCUAAUUGUUUCAUUUUUGUCAUACCUAUAUGACCUUCAUGUAACUUUUUGAUAUAUUCUAGUCUUAAGUUUUUGGGUACUAUUAUUCUGUGAUUUAAAAAUACUAUCCCUUCAUCUACCGAGAUAUCAGUCUUGAAUUUAUAAUAAUAAUUUAAAUAAUCUGGUAUAUUUUUAAUUUUUUCUGGCCAACCGUUGCUAUUGUACUCUAUAAUUUUUAAUAAUUCCUCAUCCUUACUAGUUUCAGAUAUCAACUGUUGCUUUUGCUGUUCAGAACAUUGUAGAUAUUGUGAAAGCCCUAUGCAAUGAAUAACUUCAUAUAUGUAUGACUCAUCUAUAUCAGUACUUGGUAAAUGUGAUCUAGAUAAAAGAUCUGCUAUAAACAUCUGCUUUCCUUUUAAAUAUUUAAAUUCGAGAUCGUAUUUUAAUAAUUUUAGUUUUAGUCUUUGCAACCUAGGUGAAGGAAUAUCAUGGAUGCUUUUUUUUUAACAGUGAUUCAAGUGGCUUGUGAUCAUUUAAUAUAUUAGUAAAUUUUUGACCAUAAAUAUAAUAAUGAAAUUUCUUUAUUGACCAUACGACACUAAGAAGUUCUUUUUCUAUUUGUGAAAAAUUUUGUUUUGCUGAUGUUAAACUUCUAGAUAUGAAACUAAUUGGUUUACCAUUUUGUAGUAAACAGCCUCCUAAGCCAUCUUUAGAAGCAUCACAUUGAAUAACUAUGGGUAAUUUACUGUUAAAGCUUUGUAAAACAGGCGCUUUAGUGAUAAAAAUUUUUAUAUCUAUAAAUGAUUUUUCAUGAAUCUCGGUCCAUAACCACUCUACUUCUUUUUUUAAUAAUUCUCUUAACGGGGAUAUAAUAUUAGCUAAAUUUGGUACAAAUUUGCGCAAAUAAUUGACCAUUCCUAAGAAAAUUUGUAGCAUUUUUUUAUUUUCCGGACUUUUAAUACUUACUAUCGACUUGAUUCUGUCUGGGUCUAUUUUAAUGCCUUCUUCAGAGAACACAUGUCCAAAAUAUUUUACUUCUUUAAGUUUAUAUUGAAAUUUAUUUUUAUUAAACUUUACAGUACAUUUUCUAGCACGUUCAAAAACCUGAGCCAAAAUGACAUCAUUUUCUGCUUCUGACUUAGAGGCAAUUAACAAAUCAUCACAAUAAACUAUCACACCUGGUAUGUCGCCAAAUGCUUUCUCGCUAUAGCGUUGAAAAACUUCCGGUGCUACUGAUACUCCGAAUGGUAAUCUUAAAAACUUAUAUGUUCCAAAAGGUGUACUAAAAGUGCAUAAAUCCGAUGAGGAAUCAGUUAACUUUAUAUUAUAAAAACCAUCAGACAAGUCUAAAACUGAGAACACUGACUUAUUUGUUAAUUUUGUAAUAAUUUCCUCAUAUGUGGGUAUCAAAUAAUGUUCUUUUACAAGUACUUUAUUAAGGUCUUUAGGAUCCAAACAUAUUCGUAAUGACUUAUCUUUUUUUUCUAUUAUUACCAAAUUGCUAACAAAGCUUUUAGGAUGAGCUACCUUUUUAAUGAUUUGGUGAUCCUCCAGAGUUUUUAGCUUGUCUUCUAAACGAGAUCUUAGAGCCUGAGGGACUCGUCGAGGUGGCUUCACCACUGGCACUGUGCCAGUUUGUAUAUGCAGCUCCAAGGCUUCCUCAAAUUGACCCACUCCUUGAAAUAAGUCAAUAUUGUUGCUUAUUAAUAUGUUUUUAUGUUUUUCAUCAGGUGAAAUGAUGCUCUUAAUAUUAUUAAUAUCAUGUAACGUGGUGCAGACAGACAUGUUUUUAUUUGAGCUUAUAUUUAUUUCCUCAUUGGAACAGCUGCUAUUAAUAUUAUUAAGCAUUAGCAUUUCUAUUAACGAACUUAGGCCCAAAAUAGGUUUUACAUUUUCUUUUAAUAUUACAAACUCUGUUUUAUAUAUUUUGUUUUUAUUGUACACAUUUAAUACUGUUUUACCUAAUGGGUUUAACUGGCUGCCCCCAAAAACUUCUAAUUUUAUUUUAGUCUCAGACCAAUAAGGAUUUUCAUCAUCGACUAUGUUUUUCAGAUCACACAAGGACAAUACAUUACACUGAGCCCCUGU